AUGGAUGCUUCUCAAUUGCAUUCAUUCUGGCAUUGAUUUAACAUACAUUGACUGAGCACCUACUGUGUGCCAGGCACUGUUCUUGGCUCUGGGGAUAUGAUGGUCAGAUACCAGAUACAUGUCCUGCUCUUAUUUUUCCUACAUUCUCCUUAGGGAAGUGGACAGUAAACAGUAUGUCAGGUAGUGACACAUGCAUGUGCAGGAGAGUUUCUGUUAGGUGUGGUCGUCAGGAGAGGCUCUGUGAAGAAGUAAGGUUUGAGCAGAGGGCUGAAUGGUCUAAGUAAGCCAUGAGAGGAUGGGGGGAAGAAGACUGAGGCCAAGAUGCAGCAGAUGCAAAGGUCCUAAGGCAGAAACUAUCUUGCAAAAAAAACACAAGAAGCUAUCUCAACAAAGCUGUUUAAAAAUGGUAUCAAAAUUAUGUAACUAUUUUGUGUCUCCCAAAAACAUAUGUUGAAGUUCCAGCCCCUAGUAUCUUACAAUGUGAUCUUAUUUAUAAAAGGGUCUUACAGUGCAAUGAGUUCAGAUGAGAUCAUACUGGAGUAAGACAGGUUCUUCAUCCAGGCAUGCUAGUGUGCUUACAAGAAGACCAUGUGAAGAUGGAGUCAAGACUGGAGGGUUAUGCCUGCAAGUAAAGGAGCCGCCAAGGAUUGAUGGCUGCCACCAGAUGCUCAAAGAGUCAAGGAAGGAUUCUACCUAGAGUUUCAGAGGGAGUGUGGCCCUGCUGACCCUUUGAUUUUGGAUUUCUGGCCUCCAGAGCUGUUCAACAAUAAAUUUCUGUUGUUUUAAUCCACCCAGUUUCCAGGACUUUGUUAUAGCAGCCUUAGAAAACAAAUACAGAUGCCUAUUAGACACACAGAGGUCUACUAGAGGUCUUGAGUUGAGGGGAAAGUUUAAAGUUUGGUGCUGAAGAUGUAAAUUUGGAGAUACAAUUAUAACAAUAUGAGCAAACAGAUUGGGCUUCGCUAUCCAGCAAAGUCCAAUAGUCUGCUGUCUGCAGGAAUUACAUAAACAUGAACAGAUGCCAACCUCUGAAGCAACAAGAUAGUCUACAUUCUAAGAUGCUUGGACAAAUUUAAGAAGAGCACAGCAGAUUACCUUAGUAUCAGAUUAAAUCAAUGUCACAGCAAGAAGUGUUAGAUAAAAUCACCAUAUAAUAGUCGACUGUUAGUUCAUAAAAACCUAGCACUCAUUUCAUGAUUCAAUAUAUGUAAUAGAAAUACCUUAAAUGGUGGAAUUGCAGCCAUCAGACAUAUACAAUGGUAACUGGUAAUCUCAAUACUCACCGAGCAACAAAAUUAAAUAUCAAAGAAUUAGACAAAGAAAGUAGCUCAAAAUGAUACAACAGUAAAUUCAACAGAACUCACAGGUAUAUAUGGAAUAAAGUGAAGAGUAGAACAAUAAACUUCCUUUACCAGUACACAGGUAAAAAGUUACCCAGUUACAAAGCAGAACUUGUUCUUAUUCUUAGAUUCAAACCACAAUAAAAACACAAAAAACAUGAACAGAAAGGAAAAGGCAACUCGAAGCAGUCAAAACUGACUGAAACAGCAUCGAGGAAGGGAUAAAAUCCAGAACACAUCGGAUCAUUUUCACAGUGAUAAAGCAAACUAUAACCUGUCAGUUCAUAAAAUGCUGUCUUAAAUUGAGAAUCAUGGCCGUUGGGCUCUGGGGUGUGCGGAGGGCUGCCUGGGAGCUCGGUCAGCCCUGCCGCGGCUGGUCUGGCUGGCUGGCCGGCCCGCCGCGAACCUCCCCGGAGCACAGGCCCCAUCCGGAGGGAGCAGACUGGGCUCUUCAUGGGGAAGAUGUUUCUCCCCUUACAGAAAAGUUACUGAGUUUUCUUUUUCUAAAAAAGUCCCUGAAGAUGCCCAGUUUUAAAGAAAUCUCAUUGUAUCUAAACUCCAGGUCCGGAGUUUUAUUCCAGCAGCCUGAUAAUCGAAUUAGAAACUGUGUAGAAUCCAUUUUUAACAAAUGAUGAGCAUCCACAGACUCAAGUAAGCCUAAGUGGGUGUCUGGCAGCAGCAGGGACUUCCUGCCUCCUCUGUUAUGUGAAAUCUCUAGUUAUGACAUUGUUAUGUCACCAAGAUGCACAGCUUGCCAAACCUCAUCGUAGACAGUCUGUGGGUUUUCCCGAAUUCCCUUCAGCAACUUAAAUCCUGGAUGUUAUUGCCAGCUACAGGGAAAUUAAACAGGGAAUAGUCAGGAAAUACAAAGUGACUAACAGCUGUUGCACAACUCUGUCUUGUGGGCAUUUUCCAUGGUUGGGAAACAGACUUGAGGGUACAGUGGGCACAGUAAGAUGUUCACAGACAUCCUGAGGUUCAGAAUCUACAGAAUAUGGAGAAAUCUCUGUCCUAUUCCUGGAAGGACUGAAUGUUUUUGUCAAAAGUGUCUCUGCUGGGGCUUGUUCAAUUAUAUCUUAGCGGUCAUGAUUAAACACGGCUGGAAUUGUGUGUUAGCAAAUGCCAGUGUUUAAAAGUUUUAUAGGAAUACAAUUACUUUUGUCUCCAAAAAAUAAUGAAUUCAUGAUUGUCUGAGAUCAAGAACUGUCAAAAGAGAGAGCUUUAGGUCCUUCUAUUCAAACUUAACACUACACAAUCUUAGGAUCACAUUAUUAUACCAUCAGGAAAAACAACCAAGUAUGGACAUUACUCAACAGUGUGACAAACAAUCAGAGACAAGGGAGCUCAGGAGGGGCACGUAAUUCUCAGGGAAGUGAAGGGCAUGAAGAGCAUCCGCCAUCCAAGACCACACUCAAGCGUAUGGAAACAGCACAACCAAAGGUCAAGAUCAAUAUCAACAGUGACAAAUCAUGUUAAUAGCAUGUACCCUCAAGAAGAUGUGAUGGAAAUGACACUGUACCUCCACGGUCUUUCUCCCCUAAGCCUAUAACAUCACGAGAAAAACACUGAGAGCAACAUGAAAAAAAUGAAUAAAAUCCAAUAGAGAGACAUUUGAUAAAGUACCUGACCAGGACUCCUCAAAACGGUCAAGGUCAUCAAAAACAAGAAAAGUCUGAGAAACUGUCACCCAAGAGGAGCUGAAGGCCAAAUGUGACAGCCAAAUGUAAUGUGGUAGCCUGGCUGGGCUCC